rnacentral:rRNA from 1 species
CACGGAAAGUAAAAGUCGUAACAAGGUUUCCCGUAGGUGAACCUGCGGAAGGGAUCAUUAUUGAAAUAAACCUGAUAGGUUGUUGCUGGUUCUCUAGGGAGCAUGUGCACACCUUGUCAUCUUUAUAUCUCCACCUGUGCACCUUUUGUAGACCUUUCAGGUCUAUGUUGCUUCAUUUACCCCCAAUGUAUGUUAAUAGAAUGUUGUGCCUAUGAUAAUAUAUACAACUUUCAGCAACGGAUCUCUUGGCUCUCGCAUCGAUGAAGAACGCAGCGAAAUGCGAUAAGUAAUGUGAAUUGCAGAAUUCAGUGAAUCAUCGAAUCUUUGAACGCACCUUGCGCUCCUUGGUAUUCCGAGGAGCAUGCCUGUUUGAGUGUCAUUAAUAUAAUCAACCCUCUCUUCUUGAGUGGUUUGGAUGUGGGGGUUUGCUGGCCUCUUAAAAAGGUUAUAGCUCUCCUGAAAUGCAUUAGCAGAACAACCCUGUUCAUUGGUGUGAUAACUAUCUACGCUAUUGAAUGUAGAAGGGCAGUUCAGCUUUCUAACAGUCCUUGGACAGCUCAUCAUUAA